rnacentral:rRNA from 1 species
GACGAACGCUGGCGGCGUGCCUAAUACAUGCAAGUAGAACGCACAGUUUAUACCGUAGCUUGCUACACCAUAGACUGUGAGUUGCGAACGGGUGAGUAACGCGUAGGUAGCCUGCCUGGUAGCGGGGGAUAACUAUUGGAAACGAUAGCUAAUACCGCAUAAUAUUGAUUAUUGCAUGAUAAUUAAUUGAAAGGUGCAAUUGCACCACUACCAGAUGGACCUGCGUUGUAUUAGCUAGUAGGUGAGGUAACGGCUCACCUAGGCGACGAUACAUAGCCGACCUGAGAGGGUGAGCGGCCACACUGGGACUGAGACACGGCCCAGACUCCUACGGGAGGCAGCAGUAGGGAAUCUUCGGCAAUGGACGAAAGUCUGACCGAGCAACGCCGCGUGAGUGAAGAAGGGUUUCGGAUCGUAAAGCUCUGUUGUAAGAGAAGAACGGGUGUGAGAGUGGAAAGUUCACACUGUGACGGUAUCUUACCAGAAAGGGACGGCUAACUACGUG